ACGGGUGUGGAACACGUAGGAACAUGCCCUAUAGAGGGGGAUAACCAAGGGAAGCUUUGGCUAAUACCGCGUAAUCUCGAGAGAGGAAAGCUGCCCGCAAGGGUGGCGCUAGAGGAGUGGCCUGCGUCCGAUUAGUUAGUUGGUGAGGUAAAAGCUCACCAAGGCGAUGAUCGGUAACUGGUCUGAGAGGACGACCAGUCACACUGGGACUGAGACACGGCCCAGACUCCUACGGGAGGCAGCAGUGGGGAAUAUUGGACAAUGGGGGCAACCCUGAUCCAGCGAUGCCGCGUGGGUGAAGAGGGCCUUCGGGUUGUAAAGCCCUUUAGGUUGGGACGAAGGGUGGUGAGUGAAUAGCUCAUCAUUUUGACGGUACCGACAGAAUAAGCACCGGCAAACUCUGUGCCAGCAGCCGCGGUAAUACAGAGGGUGCAAGCGUUAAUCGGAGUUACUGGGCGUAAAGGGCGCGUAGGCGGUUGUGUGAGUGUGAUGUGAAAGCCCUGGGCUUAACCUAGGAAGUGCAUCGCAAACGACAUAACUGGAGUAUAAGAGAGGGUGGCGGAAUUUCCGGUGUAGCGGUGA
rnacentral:rRNA from 1 species